AUUCGGUAUGGUUGAAGAACACGGACAAAGGACUUGAAUCGUCCACCUCCAGCCCUGCACUUCUGUUUGCAUUGAACCGCUCAAAACCCCAUUUAUAGACCUCCCUUAGGAAUUGUAAAGGUUCAAAGGGAAUCCUUUGAAUUCUUGGAAGGAUAUAGUGCUUCGCAAGGGAGGAUAUUAUUCGUUCUGAUAAUACAUCUUGGUGCACAGAACUAUAUACAGAGAGGGAGAGGGAAUCUCAAUGCUGCACUAUUCCGACUCCCUGUAUUAAACUGUAAAGAACUGCUGUCUUUGGGAUAUCUUAACUGCUGGACGAUCUGAGGGUCAAAGCAGGGAGGUGAGACUUUACAUGCCCUGGUCAAAGGUUCCAUUUAUUGACUGCUUUUUGAAACUGCAAGAAAUCCUCCCGAUCAUCGAGCUUGAUGAUCAGAUGGUUGACGUUUGGCAACUUUUCGACUGCUGUGUGAACCUGUUAUGGAAUCUUGACUUCAAAAUUUAAUUGUUGGGUGAUUUGAGGAUUAACGUUUUGCUCACUUGAAUGAAAUAUUUUCCAAUGCUGUGUGAAACUAAGAAAUCCCCAUAGGGCCUCUUUAACCACAAGUCUUCAUGAUCAGAGGUUGAUAUUCGGAACUUGACUGCUGUAUGAAGCUGUGAGGAAUCACGAUCUUGGAUCUGUAUAACCGUCGCGCUGGAUGAUCUGAGGGUUAAAUAGCCGGUAACAUCAUCAUCUCAAUUCCCACAGAACAGUAUAUACUUAAGGACUGCUUGACACGAUGAUCAACUACAGCAUGGAGGUGGUCGUAUCCACCGAUACGGACGACGUCGAACUCCCCGAAGACAACAUGGGCGUGGUCAACCCAAUCCCCAUCGAUAUCGAGGACGAGGAAAGACUCAAGGUAUCGCCGUCGAGGAAGUCACGAUUGUCUGCCGCUGACCUCAUCAGCGUGUCCUCAUCCCUACCGGACUCGUACCUACCCCAAUACCCCGACGUCUCGAUCGCGCCGUCGAUCACCAGCUCGAUCAAGCCACAGAUCUCCAAGUCGGUCGAAGACCUCCUGGUCAAUGCCGACCUGGAGGACUGUCGGAACCGGUUGUCGAGACACGGGUACGACUCGAUGAGGAGUCUGAGGCUGGCAUCCAAGGAUGAUUUAGUCGAGAUAGGCUUGCCCAGGGGCUAUGCAGGACUUCUGGUCUAUGCAGUAGCCCAGGAAGAUAAAGGCCAUGGUCCCGGCAAGGGAUUGGCUCAGAUAGAAACAAUAAAGCUUGAAGACCAAUACCUUCCAUCACAAGUUUUAACAUCAAGCGAGGCAAUCUCCGCCAUGAGUGAAAAGGGUGACUACAAGGUGGUGCCGGGAGGCGGAGUGGACGAUGCCAUCGGGGGCGGCGGCGGUAAAGACCUCGCGGUCAAACCCCUCGAUUCGAAGACCGCACCUGACCGAGAGGGGUGGGGGAAGAAGUUGGAUUUCCUGCUGGUCUGUAUCGGCUAUGCCGUCGGGCUCGGCAACAUCUGGCGCUUUCCCUACCUGUGCUAUACCCACGGAGGAGGGGUAUUCCUCAUCCCCUAUUUCAUCAUGCUGUUCCUGGCCGGUAUGCCACUGAUGUUCCUGGAGCUGGCCUUCGGUCAGUAUGGAGGGGAAGGUCCAAUCACCAUCUGGAAGGCAUGUCCACUGUUUGCAGGUAUCGGAUGGGCCAUGGUGAUGAUCUCCGGCAUGGUGGCCAUCUACUACAACAUCAUCAUGGCGUGGACCGCGCUCUUCUUCGUGCGUUCCUUCACAUCGGAAGUCCUUGGAAAACAUGCAACAACACGUGGAACACGGACGCGUGUCAGGAGAACUCAUCUGUUGCUAUGGAGAUGGGAUUGAACAUCACUAAGCGACCGGCCCAGGAGUUUUACUAUAACUACGUAUUGGAUGUGGACGGUCACAACCUGGACGACAUGGGAUCCAUGAAGUGGGAACUGGUGAUGUGUCUGCUUUUCUCCUGGAUCGUCAUCUUCUGCUGCAUCUGCAAGAGCGUGAAGAGCUCCGGAAAGGUGGUCUACUUCACUGCGACCUUUCCCUAUAUAAUCCUAACUAUCCUCCUCAUACGAGGGGUAACUCUACCUGGAGCUAGUAUCGGGAUCGACUAUUACCUCUCCCCUCGCUGGGAGAAACUGAAGGAAACUGCUGUAUGGGGAGCAGCAGCAACUCAGAUCUUCUAUUCCUUGGGACCUGCGUGGGGCGGAGUUCUCACCUUCUCAAGUUACAACAAGUUCAACAAUAACUGUCUUAUAGAUGCUAUCUGUAUCCCGAUCAUCAACUGCUUGAGUAGUUUCUACGCAGGCUUCGUCGUCUUCUCGACGCUAGGGUUCAUGUCUUAUAAGACCGGUAUCUCCAUUGACAACGUCGCGGUCAAAGGUCCUGGUCUUGUUUUCGAGACGUAUCCGGAAGCAAUCUCCCAGAUGCCUGCAGCCCCUUUCUGGUCCAUUCUAUUCUUUUUCAUGUUCUUCCUUGUUGGACUUGAUACACAGUUUGGGAUGGUGGAGACGGUUGUGAGUGGACUGACGGAUUACUACCCCAACCAUCUGAGAAAACAUGGCACCUUAACAGCCCUCGUAGUGUGUGUCGUUUUCUUUCUUCUAGGACUACCCAUGGCCUCCCAGGGAGGAAUUUAUAUGUUUGAGUUGAUCAACUGGUACAGUUGUUGGAUAUCCCUCAUGUUGGUGGGCGUGUUCGAGUGUGUGGCUGUUGCUUACUUCUACGGUGUGCGUCGUUUCACGAAUGAUAUCAGACGCAUGAUUGCUGACUAUACGUGGAUGACACCUGUAGUCACUCCGCUACUCUACUGGUAUAGUAGCUGUUGGUUGGUUAUUACUCCUUCCAUUAUCGUGUUCAUCUCGGUCUUUGGAAUGGUAAACUACGUUCCCGUUUACUUUGGGGACUACGUUUACCCCAAAUGGAGUGAGAUGCUCGGCUGGCUCAUGGCCGUGGUACCUCUGUUCACGAUCCCGCUCGUGAUGAUCAUCAAGUUAUUCUUUGCUUCGGAAGGAGAGACUUAUGCUCAGCGAUUCAUGUUUCUCCUCCGCCCGACUUCUCAGUGGGAGAACAAAGAGAGACAGUUUCAAGGCAAGAAGAAUCCCAAAAGCGGAUUCGGCAAAGACGUGGAGCUCGACUCCAUCAAACAGAUGUACGCGUGAGAUUUGGACAGGAGGAGAGGACAAUGGAAGGAGUAUUUUCUCCCGGCUGGUAACUGGUAGGAAAGAAAGGAACUUGCUGGUUUCGAGACGAUAGGUGUUAGUUAAUACGGGAAUAUUGUUCUCCCGAUUUACGUGUGUAAGUUAGAAGCGAAAGUUAUGCUAUCGGUGUUAUAACGGCAAGGGUUGUAAAAAGACGGGAAUAUGUUUUUCCCGAUUUUGAUUUGUGUUGCGGUAAGAGAAGACGGGAGUAUUUGUUCUCCCGGUUUGUAAGAUAUAAGUGAGAAUAUUAUUCUCUCUGUUUUUAGGAUAGAAGAGAGGAUUAUUCUCUCGCUUUUAGGAUAAGAUGGGGUAUUAUUAUACUCCUGAGUUAUUAAGAAAUCAAGGAGUAUUAUACUUCUGGUUUUUGGUGCCAAAAACUGGAGAUUUUUAAAUCUCGAUCAUGGAAGGAGGGAGUUUUUUUUUUUUUUUUUUUACAUCAACUCCAAGAAGGGAAAGGAAGGGACGGGUGUGGGCAGGAGAUAUGGUUUGGGGGAAAGAAGGGACCUUUUUUAUCCCUGAAUUGGGAUAGGUCGGAGUACUAACACCUGAUCAGGUUUAAGGAUGAGAAAACUAUAUUCCCAGGCGGGAUAAAAAUGGAGUUAUAUUAUUCUACCGAUGAGUGUGAUGAUGGUGGAAAAGAAUUUUAUUUUAUUUUAUCUAUCAUGGGGAAAGAGAGUAGGAUCAUACUCCAGAUAAUAGAUCAACAUAAUAUUAGGAGCAGGAUAUUCUUCCGAUUUAAAGGAAAAGGGGCGCAUUAUACUUAUGGUAAGGGGGUAUAAAAAAUGUGCAGAUAUACUCCCGAUAAAGAGAUCAAAUCGAGGAAGAAGGUUGGGAUAGUACUACUCUGUGCGCAAGUGGUAGAAAGAAAGAGCCCACAUUAUUAAAACGAAUGGUAGGGGCUGUUGGAGGUAGUCCAGAAUCUGUUCAGGUUUUAUUUUCUUUCUUUUUCCGCGAUCUCUCCCCUACCCGUUGCAAGCCGAUAAUCUGUGUGAAAUCGAUCGAUUUUUGUUAUUUCGUUUUGGCUUGCUGGGCGUAGCUUACAAAUUCGGGACUCACGCCAUCUUCGGCCUGCAGCGAGUAGGUGUAAUGAUCCAUCUUGUUUAGUGGAGAUCGUAAAAAUUUAAUCGGCCAGAUUCUGGACUGGGGGGGGGGGGGGGUGUUGAUUCAUCUAAAGUUUUGUUAAACUUCUUUUACAUUCAGAGAGUCUGAGCUUUACAUUUAUUGCUUUGCAUAUUGUAUAUUUCAUCAUGUUAUUAUUUAAUCGAUUUUCCAUGCUGUGUUUCGUGUUCCAUUUGUCAUGUAAAAAGUGUAGUUCGAUACAAAUUGGUUACGUUGUUAUUUAAACGUUCAUAUAGUGGGGAGAGGGAGGGGCACUACCAUAGAGGGUCAAUAUGCGAGAGGGGCACUGCGAUUGGUGUGUGCAACUCUUCGUAGACGGUGAUUCUUAUUAUUCUAAGAAAUACAUUUUAUUAAAAUGUGUGAGGUGAUAUUAUGAUGAAGAUUUUAUCUUAGGUGCCUUUAAUGAUACCUAAUCUCUAGUGCAAUUAAAGAUUCCUAUACUAGAAAUCUUACUUUGCUGAAUUAAUGGUUUUUAUACUGAAAACGGUGCCACGUUAGUGUACAUAAGCGGAGGUUGUAGUUACAUGUAAUUGUUUGCUUUAUCUUUAAAAAAAAAGAGGAUGGUUGUUAUGCUUAAUGUACGAUAUGUCGUAUGAAUCAUGAAAUAAUAUAUGUACAUGUACUUCCAGUAAUUGCUUACAUUUAGUCUAAAUGACACAUAUUAAGUUCAAAUGACACAUGCCAAGGUGAACAAACUUUUGAUUCUACCUCACACUAUCCCACCCGACAUUUUACUUUUAAGUUUAUAUUGAUAUUUCCUGCCACUUUUGGAGAAUUUCGAGAACCUGGUUCAGGCUAUCGUUAUCAUCAUUUGAAAUUCGUCAAAGAUAAAACGAAGAAAACCGUGAAUACAAGACAACAGUAAGAAGAGGAAGAGAUUGGAAGGAAUAAGAAACUAUUUAUUAUGAUCACUGUGUGAUUUUGAAGAAAUCUUGCUCCACAUAUGCAUUCUCGAAAUCUGUAUUAAAAAAAAAUGUAUUUUUAAUUUAAGGAGAUAUUACAUUAUCGUGCAUACAAUACUUCCAUAUUUCCAUAAUUGUCAUCAUUACCAACAAUGACGUGGCUGGUGAUUUUACGAUGAUACGCACACGCACAUUUCAAAGCUAAGUCAUAAUACUUGACAUGACGUCAUAAUGCAUUGUCGCACAAUUUGCGUUCAUGUAGUGGCUAAGUCGACGAAGUACAGUAUCAUGUAUACUUAACGUUUAUGAUCACAGAGUAAUCCAUAUAAAAUUAUAUAUAUACAUUUACGUGAUAUUUUAUAAUAACCGGGUGAUCGGUGCCUUCGGAAUAUCAUGAAAAUAAUAUAAUUUUUGAUCAGGGUAUUAGUAAUUAAUCGAAUUCUCCAUUAUGCAAUAUUUUAAAUGUAUUAGUUAAAUUAAACUAAAAUUUAAAAGUUGUACUGAGGAUCAUUACAACCAGGCCAAGGAACGACAAAAGAGAUGAUGAGGUGAUCUAAAUCAUAUUUCUAAUUUCCCUAAACUUUCUAAGCAGUACUUGACAUUUCCUCAGGCUUAUGGCUGCGAUAAACUACACUACCCCCCCCCCCCCCCCCACCCCCCCCCCCUCAACAAAUAAAAAGGUUCAGUGUCCGAACAUGAACACGCAAUCUCUGGUAUACACAAAACAGUAUUUGAAGGAAGUUUUGAUCAAUAUUAAUGAUAUAUUCCAUUCUUUACUCGAGAUAUAUAGUUCUGGCUCAUCAUUACCCCUGAGUAAUGAAAAUGUAGAUGACAUGAACGGUGCUCUAUCCAAAAUCCACCAUUGUGAAGAUUACUUUCACUCAGUAAAAGUAGUUUGAAAGCCACCAUGAAUUCCUAUGCAAAUUUGAAACUGUGUUUUAACUUUUGUUCGCUUUAGCAUUUACUCGUGCAUUAAUUUUGCCCUGUUGUGAUUAUUGUUCAGAGCAAAUCGUCUACAGUCUUACUUGUUCCAUUCGGUUGUUAUUAGACAUUUUGGUAGUGUGCUGUUUUGUGUGGUGAUGAGGUUGUCUAGGACACUCGCUUUACGUUCUGUGCGUGUCGUUGUUCACGCGGCCAAUUUGUUCGAAGCGAACUUCAGCCAUCAAGAAUAUAUAUUUUUGUCGUAUCACGUUCUCUACUCGUGGCGGAGGCCUGAGCCAGAGCAGCAAGUAUAUCUUGCGCAACGGCAACUUGGAAUAUUUCCAAAAUGUUUUUGCGCUUUUGCGAAACUAGACAAUCUAGCCGAUGUGUUAGGAGUUUUAAAAACAAACCAAAAAACAAGAGAGAAGUAGAAAGAGCUAGAACUGUUUAGAACAUCCAAAGUGACGCAUUGUGACUUCGGCAUUAACUAACGAUUUUUCUUCCAACGGUAGAGGGAGACAGAGCUCAGUUGCUUUCCUGGAUCUGUCUUAAGACCUACCAGAACUUUUAAAUACCGUAACAAAUGUUUAAAACCAAAGAUAAUUAUAAUCAAGUCUUUCCUGUCAUCUUAUGUAUCACGGACUAAAAUGAUUCUACGCUCGAAUUUAAUCAUGACUGGUGAUUAUUUGUGUUUGUUUGUUUAUUUAUGACAGUAAUGUUGUUUAUAUUUUGAGGUAAGGUUGAUUUAUGAUUUCACCCAGUGUUAAAGCCAAAGAUGUAUGGACCACCGUUAAGAAUUGUAUGAAUGUAUUGCCUUGUUUAUUAUUUAAUAGUCAUGGAAUUAUUACCCAUUUAUUUAAUUUAUUUUAAUCAAAGACGCUCUCAGUUGUAUAUACAGUUAACAUUAAAAUAGUCUUACAAGUCUGUGCUAUUGGAUUUGGUUUAAUAUGCAGUUAUUGCCCGUAUGUAGUCCAGGAAAUCGAGAUUUAUUAAGUGUAUUAUUUAUUUUUUUAUUUAUCAGAAUGGAUGCAAAAUGUCGGUUCUUUUAAAAGGCAGGCAAUUAUAACAUAAUUUUUAUUUCAGAAUUUCAAUUUCUCGUGAUGUUUGUAGAGUAUUAGCGUCGUUUUAGCAAGUGUCUUUGUUGGUUUGAGUAUAUAAGUGUAUCGAUAAGAAUUAGGACACUUCAGGUCAUAUUCUAGUUAUUAAGUUAAAUCCGACUUUGGAUAACUUAGACUGCAGACUACACAACUUCCAUUGUUAAACCCGAAUUUGAACAAAAGCGUAAGCCCAGUGACGGGUUUAAAUUUGAGUAUGAAUCGGGCCAUCGAUGUUAUAAUGAUAUGUCACAUGAAUUGCCAAAGUUAGUGGAAUAUCCUUAAUGAAGACACUCGAAUACAUGGGGGGGGGGGGGGGUUGGGAGGGGGCGUUGAGGCGUUGUUUCAACUGAUGUGUCAUAAUAUAUAUUGAUUCAUGGGGUAGAAUAUGGAUAUAUUUAUUUAUUUUUUAAAUGUUUGAAGUGGUUGAAGAGCCUAGUUUUAUGAAGUUACAUUGUGUGGAGUUCAUGAAUUCUCACCCACCGCUAUUUAUGAUUCUUCCCUCUCUCCCAGUCUUUCUCUUUUAUUUUCAUCUGUUCCCUUCCAAUUUCAUCGUUUUCUAUCCGUUUUCCCUAUAAUUCAUGUUCUACCAUAAUGUUGUGUUGUAUGCAUCCAUUCAUGUUUUACAAAACAUCAACUCUAUUAAGUUAUCAAUUUUUUACACUCCUGAAGGAAGAUGUAUCUUUAUGUCUCACUUAUUCUCACCUAUUCUCACAUAUUCGUAAUUAUAUUCACAAUGUAUUACACAGUCUCGUUUUAAGUUGGCAAAAUAUACUGUACACUGACACCCAUUCCAUUCGUAGUUCAAUAUCCUAUCGUAAUUUUCAAAAAUAUUUUAUUAAUAAAGUCUUAUUCUCCUUUUCAAGCAUUUACUAGGGCAAUUUUAUAGUUUUCAUAGUUUUCAUAUUUCAGCUCAUUUUUUUGAAAUUUUGAUUUAAGAGGGGCGGGGGGGGGGCUGGAGGGCUUUUUAAGCGUUAAAAAAGUGCAUCGAAGUUGUAGGAACCCUCGGGAUGAGUGACGAUUGAUAUUGUAUCGCCUGGCUGGAAUGAUCCCCAGGGAGUGGAGAAUAUGCUCAUAUUUUAUGCGGGGAAAGCCGGAAUCCGAUAAUCGGGGUAAUAAUAUAUCUCUAUUAUAUUAAGCGCUAUAUAAACGAAGAAUAUUAUUAUUAUUGGUACCAUCAUUAUCAUAUAACAGUUAUUGCAACUAAGAAGUAAAAGAGGUAAAACAGAAUGCUAAGAAUAGUGAUUAUAGUACUUAACCUUGGUUUUUUAGAUAAAACGCUUUAUAAUAUUUAAACCAACGUUGCCGUCCAAAUAGAUUUUCUCGUUUGCGUCGUGUGACGUUUUCUGUGGUGAAUUGAGUUUGAGUUUCUUUUAGUAAUUAUUUGAUAUAGGCACCGUCAAAUGUAUUGUUAUUCUGUUGUCUGCGUAUAACCGAGCGUAUAAUCUACAGAAAUUAUAAGUUUGAGAAAGUUGGAGAAACGUAUUUAAAAGUACUGCUCACCUGUAAUAAUUAUAACUUAAGAAGGUAAUAUCGUAGAAUGUUCAUUGUUUAUAUUUUUCUUCAUUUUUUCCCUUCUAUUUGAUCGUCUUUGAAAUGUGAGCAAAGUAGCUAAGAAAGUCAUGCCAUUAUGAACAAUAAAAAGUUCAUCAGACAAACAUGAAAA